GAUGAACGCUGGCGGCGUGCCUAAUACAUGCAAGUAGAACGCUGAAGCUUGGUGCUUGCACCGAGCGGAAGAGUUGCGAACGGGUGAGUAACGCGUAGGUAACCUGCCUCUUAGCGGGGGAUAACUAUUGGAAACGAUAGCUAAUACCGCAUAAAAGUCGGCAUUGCAUGAUGUUGACUUGAAAGGUGCAACUGCAUCACUAAGAGAUGGACCUGCGUUGUAUUAGCUAGUUGGUGAGGUAACGGCUCACCAAGGCGACGAUACAUAGCCGACCUGAGAGGGUGAUCGGCCACACUGGGACUGAGACACGGCCCAGACUCCUACGGGAGGCAGCAGUAGGGAAUCUUCGGCAAUAGGGGCAACCCUGACCGAGCAACGCCGCGUGAGUGAAGAAGGUUUUCGGAUCGUAAAGCUCUGUUGUAAGAGAAGAACGAGUGUGAGAGUGGAAAGUUCACGCUGUGACGGUAUCUUACCAGAAAGGGACGGCUAACUACGUGCCAGCAGCCGCGGUAAUACGUAGGUCCCGAGCGUUAUCCGGAUUUAUUGGGCGUAAAGCGAGCGCAGGCGGUUAGAUAAGUCUGAAGUUAAAGGCUGUGGCUUAACCAUAGUACGCUUUGGAAACUGUUUAACUUGAGUGCAGAAGGGGAGAGUGGAAUUCCAUGUGUAGCGGUGAAAUGCGUAGAUAUAUGGAGGAACACCGGUGGCGAAAGCGGCUCUCUGGUCUGUAACUGACGCUGAGGCUCGAAAGCGUGGGGAGCAAACAGG
rnacentral:rRNA from 1 species